rnacentral:lncRNA from 1 species
AGGAGAGGAGGCUCCCACUGCAGAAGACCCUGAGGUUCCCGACUUCCACGUUGGAGAGAUGGGCUGCGCAAGGGAUGGGAGACCCAAUCUUUGGCACUCGAAUGUACUCAUCCUGGACAGCAGCUCAGCUGGGUCUUGGUUCAGGCCCUGAGAAGCCCACAGCAGAGUUCAACAGGGCUCUAAGCACAUCAGAUGGACCACACAAGCCAGCUGUGUAGGCUCCUGUCCUGUCUGGCGUAGCUCAGCUGUCCACUCUGAUGGAAGUCCAUCUGUCUGAACAGCCAACGGGUCAGCUGUCCAACCAGACCCUGCUCCCCGUCAGCUCUCCUAAUCACUCACCUGCCGGCUUCUCCUUUUCCCUUCCCCGUGUUUCUCAUGAAACCAACUUGUGUUGGCUGCUUGGACUUGAAAUGAACUGAGAGCCGUCUUUCCAAAACCAGGCUUUAUUGAUUUUGUUCGCUUCCUUUUCUUGAAGUUGGGGUCUCGCUCUGUAGCCCUGGCUGGUCUGAAACUCAAAGAGAGCCAUUUGCUCUGCCUCCUGAGUGCUGGGAUCAAAGGCACAUGCCACCGCCCUUGGCCUUCAUUCACCUUUUUAUGGACACAGUUGGAUGAAGGGUGACACUCUUAGGUAGGUGCAUACUUCUCUGCUGGAAUGAACCAGAACACCCACAGCACUGUAGUCAACCAUAUUCCUUCUCCCCGCUUCUCGAUGGCGAGGGGGAUGCUUUUCCUUCCUGCAGUCUUCCCUUUCUGCAGAUGAAUAGGAACUUUUUCUCUCGUCUUAUUAUGCUGGCUAGCGUUUCUAAUUCAGCGUUGAAUAAUAUCACCCGCAUUGGAUGCUUCUCUUGCUUGCACACAGCUGCUUACCGGUGCUUCUGCUCUUGUCGUUAGGAUCCUCCUGAACAGACCAUCUGAUGUAAUCUUUGGAGAUCAACUAGAACAACACACAGGCUUCUUCUGGUCAGAGCCCACAGAACUCUACGUCCUUCUCCCCCAAGGUAAGGUGUUAACACUGAACAAGACUCAGCUAAGUGCUUGCUGCGCAACCAUGAAGACAUAGUUUUAGAUCCCUGGCACCCAUGUGCAGAAAGCUGGGUUUGGCGGUGUGCACCUGUAACCCCAGCUCUGAGGAAGCGUGCCCUGCGAGUCCAGUCAGUCUAGCCAAACUGGAAAUCCAUUAUCUGACACCUCAGGGAACCACUCCGAUGUUGGCGGAAUCCAAAAUCACACUCUGCGGAGAAGCCAAUCCUGACAUACCUGCUUUGUCUCUCAGAUGCAUGAAUACGCAAAAAAAAAAAAAAAAAAAAAAAAAAAAAAAAAAACAACAAAAAACCCCACGGAUUUCUGAAACCAGCAGGGUGGUGGGUGGGGGCCUGGCACGAGGGAUAAAGCUCAGGUAUCCUCAGGAGGUGUAGGUCCCCCAAGUGGAGCUCAGCCUUGUCCCAUUCUGGGGGGCCUUAACUCAGCGGGGUCUUGAUGAUGUGGUAUGUGGAGGAUUGCAGUACCCUGGCAGGACUCCCUGCCUCUGGUGUCCCCAGGGUUUUGCAGAGUGGAUACAAGAGCCCGAAGCAAUUCGAGCCAUUAAGAGAAAGAAAAAGGAGCCGAGCAGAGGAGCCUGGAAGCUGAGGCGAAGCUAAUCCCUGACAGACAGACAGACUCACUUUGCCUCUUGGCCCAUCUCCACAGAUGCUGGGCAGACACACUCCUGCCUUGCAAGAGCAAAUUAAGAAUGCCAUUGGAUCCAUCAGAGUUUUGAGAAAUGACUUAAGGGAGGAAGACCUUAUUUUGACUCAUGGUUUCACAGGACUUAGUCCAUGGUCACUUCGGGUCCCUCAUCUCUGGACCCACAGCAAGAUGGAGCAUCGAGGUAAAGGUUGCAGCAUAGAGAGCUACGCACUGAUGGUUGCUAGGAAGAGACUGGGGACCAGAUGAACUUCAAAGGUGAUCUGUGACCUAACUGCUCCAGCUUCACUUCCGAGCUGCUUCUACCUCUCAAUGGGGCCUUCAUAUUAUGAAUGCAGCAAUAAAUUCAUCCACCGAUU